UGUGCCUGGCCAGGCAAACAAUGCGUACAUCUUUCCUGGAUUCGGUUUGGGGUUAAUUAUGUCAGGCACAAUCCGUGUUCACGAUGACAUGCUUCUAGCAGCCUCGGAAGCUUUGGCAUCACAAGUGUCCCAAGAGGAUUUCGACAGAGGACUCAUCUAUCCUCCAUUUACAAACAUCAGAAAGAUUUCAGCACAUAUUGCUGCCAGUGUGGCUGCAAAAGCUUAUGAACUUGGUUUGGCCACUCGCCUCCCUCAACCAAAAGAUCUGGUGAAAUAUGCUGAGAGCUGUAUGUACAGUCCUAGCUAUCAAAAUUACCGGUAGUUUAGUGUCGUUACUCUGGUGUAGCUAUGUCGUAACGUUUGUUUAUUUUCCGAUAAUGUUUCUUCUAUUGUAUUAUUUUCUUUUGUUAUGUAAGUUAUUUGGUGGUUUAGAAAUCAGCCAUAGUUUGUAUUAGCUGUGAAAAAAGGAGGAAAAAGAAAAAGGAAGUGGAAAAAAGAACUCUUACAAGUUUUUCAUGAAAUAGAAUGGAAACUUGAGCUCAAAAUCUGAAGUGGAUUCAUUACUUAUUGGUGAAGUAUAUUCACAGUUUCUUGUAAAAAAACAAUGGUUUAUUCCUUGUUGGAG
rnacentral:misc_RNA from 1 species